CACUGGGCUCACGACAUCACUGGGUGCUGGAAUGAUCUGGAUCACGCCGAUUAAAGCCAGGGUCUCCCUUGGUUGCCAAACUUCUGGCUCUGCUAAGUAACGGACCCAUCCCAUGACUGAAUGGGCAGAGGGCACUUCCAAGAAAUAGUCCAUCUUUUACGCUGGGCGCUGAGUCCACGAGUGAUUGUGGCGCUGUUGAAAUAAAUAAAGACAGACACGCAAUAAAAACAGGGGAGGAGCUUUCCUUCACCACACCCUUCUACCAUGUUGUUCCUGCCUUGGAGACAGCUGACCAUGGACUGAGUCCCCUGAAACUGACCUGUGUGUGUAAUAAACUCGGUCUUCCUGAGCCUCUGCUGUGUCUCCUGCCACACCCGACAGACAUCACAUGAAAGACCACAGAACACACAGCCAACAAAUAUCCCCAUUCCCCAUGAAAUAACAAGCUCAGAGAGGCUAUUAAUUAGCUUCAUACCAAGCAAGCAUCAAAUGAGAAAUAAAC